UUGCUGACUCUUGAGCUAUGUCGAUGA
rnacentral:sRNA from 1 species